rnacentral:rRNA from 1 species
UACGGAGGGUCCGAGCGUUAAUCGGAAUUACUGGGCGUAAAGCGCGCGUAGGCGGUUUGAUCAGUCGGAUGUGAAAGCCCUGGGCUCAACCUGGGAACUGCAUUCGAUACUGUCAGACUAGAGUAUGGUAGAGGAGUGUGGAAUUUCCUGUGUAGCGGUGAAAUGCGUAGAUAUAGGAAGGAACACCAGUGGCGAAGGCGGCACUCUGGACCAAUACUGACACUGAGGUGCGAAAGCGUGGGGAGCAAACAGGAUUAGAUACCCCCGUAGUCC